AUUGAACGCUGGCGGCAUGCCUUACACAUGCAAGUCGAACGGCAGCACGGGAGCAAUCCUGGUGGCGAGUGGCGAACGGGUGAGUAAUAUAUCGGAACGUGCCCAGUCGUGGGGGAUAACGCAGCGAAAGCUGUGCUAAUACCGCAUACGAUCUAAGGAUGGAAGCGGGGGAUCGCAAGACCUCGCGCGAUUGGAGCGGCCGAUAUCAGAUUAGCUAGUUGGUGGGGUAAAGGCCCACCAAGGCGACGAUCUGUAGCUGGUCUGAGAGGACUACCAGCCACACUGGAACUGAGACACGGUCCAGACUCCUACGGGAGGCAGCAGUGGGGAAUUUUGGACAAUGGGCGCAAGCCUGAUCCAGCAAUGCCGCGUGCAGGAUGAAGGCCUUCGGAUUGUAAACUGCUUUUGUACGGAACGAAACGGCCCUUCUAAUACAGGGGGCUAAUGACGGUACCAUAAGAAUAAGCACCGGCUAACUACGUGCCAGCCGCCGCCGUAAAAC
rnacentral:rRNA from 1 species